CCUACGGGUGGCAGCAGUGAGGAAUAUUGGUCAAUGGACGAGAGUCUGAACCAGCCAAGUAGCGUGUAGGAUGACUGUCCUAUGGGUUGUAAACUUCUUUUAUAUGGGAAUAAAAUGUUCCACGUGUGGGAUUUUGUAUGUACCAUAUGAAUACGGAUCGGCUAACUCCGUGCCAGUAGCCGCGGUAAUACGGAGGAUCCGAGCGUUAUCCGGAUUUAUUGGGUUUAAAGGGUGCGUAGGUGGAUUAUUAAGUCAGUUGUGAAAGUUUGCGGCGCAACCGGAAAAUUGCAGUUGAAACUGGCAGUCUUGAGUAAAGUAGAGGUGGGCGGAAUUCGUGGUGUAGCGGUGAAAUGCUUAGAUAUUACGAAGAACUCCAGUUGCGAAGGCAGCUCACUGGGCUGCAACUGACACUGAGGCUCGAAAGUGUGGGUAUCAAACAGGAUUAGAUACCCUUGUAGUC
rnacentral:rRNA from 1 species